rnacentral:lncRNA from 1 species
UUAUUUUGACUUUUCUGCAUUUUUCAGAUUUUCGCAAGUGAACAUGUAUUGUUGCUUUUAUAGUAAGGGCAUUAAAAAUGAGAAAGAAUUCAGAGCUCAGGGGUGGGAGUCGAUGCUGUCUAAGAUCCGCCCAGGCCUCUGACAAGGAAGGUCAGACUCGCCUCCUGGGUGUCAGGGAAGCUUCUGGGCUUGGAGUUAGCAGCCUGAGUGUCAGAACCAGGGCCGCCUGUGUGACCCUGGGCAAAUCUCUCCACCCUUUGGCACCUCAAUGGCAUCCCCUGUCAAAUAGGGCCUGGUCCCCUAUAUCACAUGAGUGGGGCAAGAAUAGGACAUCAGGGCCCUGUAAGGCUUUCUGGAAUUCUCACCAAAUGAACAGAAAUGAUACCUUUCUUCUCAAUUCCUGGGAAGGCCAGUUCUGCUUUCAGACCCCUCAGAAAGUUGUCAGCAUUCUUGCCAGGGAGCCCCAGGGAGUCUUUGCAGCCCCCAGAGGUACAGAUGUUCCUGACUCAUUUUGGAAAGUAGAACUGGGGUGAUUUCCAGAAAUGUAUCACCAAGCGGGGGAGAAGCACUGCGGAGGUUUGGGGGGCAGGUGGUUAGAGGCCUGAGAUCUGGUCCCAGCCCUUCCCCCCACAGCUGUGUGACCUUGGGCGAGUCACUCAGCACUCCUGGCCUCAGCUUCCUCUGUCAUGGGCUCUGGACUCAGCGCUAAAAUUCCUUGAACUCUCUCUUGAACCCAGGCCUUAGAAGCAGGGACCCUGUAGUCUGAGAGGCAGCUCCUGAUAGCCUGGGGUCCCCAGAAUGUCCCAUGGGUGACCUCUGACCUCAUUCCUUGUCAUCAUUUCCCAGGAGAGUGGGGGGUGGAAGGACAUUCACUGGCUGGUCUCCGGAAGCUCAGUCGGCCGUGAUGGGAUUGUCCUCAGUUUCCCUCGGCCUCCUCUGUUGCAUUUGACUCCUGAGAGGGUCUGGCAUUGUGGGAAGGGUGAGCUGCUUCAGGGCAGGUAGUGUGUACACCGGAAAGAGCCCCCGUGUGCACGCAGCCUGGAGGAGUGCACACCACUCUCCCAGCCUGGGGGUGACAGCUGCCCUGUGCUGGUGCCUCAAGGACCCUCCAAACCUCAGACCUGGACAUUCCCGGCCUUCUGCUCUGAUGCAUAGUAGAUGUGUUCACAUGAACCGGUCAUGUCCCCAUAAGAUGCACAUCGCAGACCUCAGACCUAAUUAUGAUCUAAUUAGCCAUACGGUUACGUCCCCCAGGCUGGGCUUUCCACGGAGUCAUUGCAAACAUGAAUCUUCACAACUGUUUUGUGAGAUGGGCCCUAAUGCUCUGCAGCACUUACAGAUGGGGGAUCGGAGGCUCAGAGAGGUUAAAAAUCUCACCCAAGGUCACACAGUUGGCAAGGUGGCAGGACCAGGAUUUGAGCCCAGGCCAUCUGGCCCGAGUCCACACUUGUGACCAUGAUGCUCUGAGAUCAUUUAGCCUCUUCCAGAUGCUGUUUUGCCAAAUGAGAAGCUCAGCACAGGUCAGUGGCUUCCCAAGGUCACACAGCAAAUUAGUGCAGAGCCCAGACCUGCUUCAGACUCCUGGACUUGGGGAAAGAGCUCUUUGCACAGGGAUGCGAGUGGCUGUGUCAUCCCCAGCUUCUGGGCCCAGCAGGGUGUUUGCCACACAGGCCGGUGGACAAUGGGCUGAUUGGAUCCAACUAAUUCUUCAUUCAUUCGCCCAUCCACUGAGAUCCUUCUGGGUGCAAAGGCCUCUGCCUGGCCCUGGGGGAUAGAGAUGAGCAAGACCCAUCUGCUGCUCAUAACGCAGGGACUUCCAGGAGGAGGGAACAGCUGAGAUUUGGUCAGAGGGAGGAGGGAAGAAAGGGUGUUCUGAGUUUAGGGAACGGCUGAUGCAUUCGCAGGGGAGGAAACCCCAUGGCUUCUGGGAGGUUGGUGAAGGGGAAGGAGAGGAGGCUGCUAGGGUCUGACACUACUGGGGCUAGUGGUGGGUGGUGGAGGGGGAAGGCAAAUGGGGAGCCCAAAGGAGUCAGCCAGAGACUGAGAGUCCAACGCUGGGAGUCUGAGCCCCACCCCCUAGAAGGGGUGCAGGGAGGGGGGACCCAGUUUAGGAAAGGAUGUGGUUCCUGACUUCUUGGGUCACAACUGGAAGGGGAAGUGGGGGUUGGGGCCGGGCUGGGUGGGGCUGAGGUCACAAGGCAGGAGUAACAAUGGCAGAGCAGCACCCCUGUGGUGGCCUGGGGGGCAGCUCUGCAAGUGCUCCUUACUCAGAGGCAGGAAGGGGGAGAGGGAAGCAGACCUCACCUCUGGGGUUCUCUGACCUCAUCUCCCUGUUCUCUUCCUCACUCACUUCCUCACUGGCUUUGUUUCUCGAAUGUAUCCAGCUCCUUCCUGCCACAGGCCCUUUGUACCUGCUAUUCCCUCUGUCUGAUAUGACUCUCUUCUUUUAAUCAUUUGCCUCUUCAAAUGGUACCUCCUCAGAGAAGUCUCCUGACACUUCUAAACUACACUGCCCCCUCCCCAUCCAUCUUCCCUCCCCCAACACCACUCGUUCAUUAUUGCCCUUAUCCCUAUGUGCCAUUUCAUGCCCGCUUGUUUACCUAUUCACCAUCUAUUCCCCAUCUCAGGACAUAAGCUGAAGAGGACAGGGGCUUGGUUGAUCUGGCUCAUCACUGAAUCCCCAGCUCCUGGGGACAG